UAGUAAAUAAUUUUUUAUAUGUAAAGUUUUAUUAUGGCUUUGGAAUUGGCUUAUUAAUUUUUGUAUAUGUAAUUUUUUGAUUUUUUUUGUUUUUAAAGAGAAUUGUUUUUUUUUUGCAGUAUAUAGAUUUAAUUAUUAAGUGGUUUUAGAAUUAGGAAUUUAAUUUAACAUGAACAAAAUUUGUGCCAGCAGUAGCGGUUAUACAAAUUAUGUUAGUUAAUUUUAUUUAGUUUAAUUAAAAGUCAAUUUUAAUAAAUUUAUGUUUAGAUUUUUUAGGUGAAAUUUUAAAUUUAACUUAAAUUUUUUUUUUGUUUUUGAGGUUAGGAAAUUUCUUUUUUAAACUAGGAUUAGAUACCCUAUUAUUGGAAAUGUUAAUUUUUUACUAUGAUUACUAAGAGUUAUGGUCUUUAAAGUUAAAAAAUUUGGCGGUAUUUUAGUCUAUUCAGAGGAACCUGUUUUUUAAUUGAUAAUCCACGAUAAUUGUUACUUUAUCUUUAAAUUUGCAUAUCGUCGUUUAUAAAAAUUUUAGGAGGAUUGAAAUUUUUGAGGAUUUUUAUAAUAAAAUAUUUCAGAUCAAGGUGUAGUUUAUGAUAAAGUUAAAAUGGGUUACAAUAUAGUUAUAUGUGGUUUUUAUUUUGAAAUAUAUAAAAUAAAAUGGAUUUGAUAGUAAGUUCUUUAUUUUUGGGAAUUGAUUUAGCUCUAAAAUAUGCACAUAUCGCCCGUCGCUUUCAUUUUAAGAUGGAAUAAGUCGUAACAAAGUAGGCUUAUUGGAAAAUGAGCCUGGAAUGAU
rnacentral:ncRNA from 1 species